AACGUAGGUCACAAGCGUUGUCCGGAAUUACUGGGUGUAAAGGGAGCGCAGGCGGGAAGACGAGUUGGAAGUGAAAUCUAUGGGCUCAACCCAUAAACUGCUUUCAAAACUGUUUUUCUUGAGUAGUGCAGAGGUAGGCGGAAUUCCCGGUGUAGCGGUGGAAUGCGUAGAUAUCGGGAGGAACACCAGUGGCGAAGGCGGCCUACUGGGCACCAACUGACGCUGAGGCUCGAAAGUGUGGGUAGCAAACAGG
rnacentral:rRNA from 1 species